rnacentral:tRNA from 2 species
GUCUUCGUAGUAUACUCAAUACACUGGUCUUGUAAACCAGAAAAGGCGAACAACUAACCUCCCUAAGACU